rnacentral:rRNA from 1 species
UACGGGGGGAGCAAGCGUUGUUCGGAUUUACUGGGCGUAAAGGGCGCGUAGGCGGCCACCGCAAGUCGAUUGUGAAAUCUCCGGGCUUAACCCGGAAAGGUCAACCGAUACUGCGGGGCUAGAGUGCAGAAGGGGCAACUGGAAUUCUCGGUGUAGCGGUGAAAUGCGUAGAUAUCGAGGGGAACACCUGCGGCGAAGGCGGGUUGCUGGGCUGACACUGACGCUGAUGUGCGAAAGCUAGGGGAGCGAACGGG